rnacentral:rRNA from 1 species
GACGAACGCUGGCGGCGUGCCUAAUACAUGCAAGUCGAGCGCGGGAAGCAAGCUGAUCCCUUCGGGGUGACGCUUGUGGAACGAGCGGCGGACGGGUGAGUAACACGUGGGCAACCUGCCUGUAAGAUCGGGAUAACCCGUGGAAACGCGGACUAAUACCGGAUAAAACCUUCCACCUCCUGGUGGAAGGGUGAAAGACGGCUCCGGCUGUCACUUACAGAUGGGCCCGCGGCGCAUUAGCUAGUUGGUGGGAUAAAAGCCUACCAAGGCGACGAUGCGUAGCCGACCUGAGAGGGUGAUCGGCCACACUGGGACUGAGACACGGCCCAGACUCCUACGGGAGGCAGCAGUAGGGAAUCUUCCGCAAUGGACGAAAGUCUGACGGAGCAACGCCGCGUGAGUGAUGAAGGUCUUCGGAUCGUAAAACUCUGUUGUUAGGGAAGAACAAGUACGGUUCUAACAGGGCCGUACCUUGACGGUACUUAACCAGAGAGCCCCGGCUAACUACGUGCCAGCAGCCGCGGUAAUACGUAGGGGGCGAGCGUUGUCCGGAAUUAUUGGGCGUAAAGCGCGCGCAGGCGGUCUUUUAAGUCUGAUGUGAAAGCCCACGGCUUAACCGUGGAGGGUCAUUGGAAACUGAAGGACUUGAGUACAGAAGAGGAGAGUGGAAUUCCACGUGUAGCGGUGAAAUGCGUAGAGAUGUGGAGGAACACCAGUGGCGAAGGCGACUCUCUGGUCUGUAACUGACGCUGAGGUGCGAAAGCGUGGGUAGCGAACAGGAUUAGAUACCCUGGUAGUCCACGCCGUAAACGAUGAGUGCUAGGUGUUAGGGGGUUUCCGCCCCUUAGUGCUGCAGUUAACGCAUUAAGCACUCCGCCUGGGGAGUACGGCCGCAAGGCUGAAACUCAAAAGAAUUGACGGGGACCCGCACAAGCGGUGGAGCAUGUGGUUUAAUUCGAAGCAACGCGAAGAACCUUACCAGGUCUUGACAUCCUCUGCUACCGGUAGAGAUACCGGGUUCCCUUCGGGGACAGAGUGACAGGUGGUGCAUGGUUGUCGUCAGCUCGUGUCGUGAGAUGUUGGGUUAAGUCCCGUAACGAGCGCAACCCUUAACCUUAGUUGCCAGCAUUCAGUUGGGCACUCUAAGGUGACUGCCGGUGACAAACCGGAGGAAGGUGGGGAUGACGUCAAAUCAUCAUGCCCCUUAUGACCUGGGCUACACACGUGCUACAAUGGAUGGAACAAAGGGCAGCGAAUCCGCGAGGUGAAGCAAAUCCCAUAAAACCAUUCUCAGUUCGGAUUGCAGGCUGCAACUCGCCUGCAUGAAGCCGGAAUCGCUAGUAAUCGCGGAUCAGCAUGCCGCGGUGAAUACGUUCCCGGGUCU